rnacentral:tRNA from 1 species
GCAAAAAGCGCAUAAGUUUAACGACAUAUGCGGUUUUUGCAUAGAACUGACGGACAUAUGUCCUUUUUGCA